UACGGGGGGGGCAAGCGUUGUUCGGAAUUACUGGGCGUAAAGGGCUCGUAGGUGGCCAACUAAGUCAGACGUGAAAUCCCUCAGCUUAACUGGGGAACUGCGUCUGAUACUGGAUGGCUUGAGUUUGGGAGAGGGAUGCGGAAUUCCAGGUGUAGCGGUGAAAUGCGUAGAUAUCUGGAGGAACACCGAUGGCGAAGGCAGUGGUCUGGGCCGAUACUGACGCUGAGGAGCGAAAGCGUGGGGAGCGAACAGG
rnacentral:rRNA from 1 species